rnacentral:rRNA from 1 species
AUGUACGUCAGUUUUCUAAUGUCCUGGCCCAAACACCGGUUCGGGCAGUCAGAUAUAGAGCAUGCAUCUUGGCACAAGGAGGGCAGUGUCACGUCAUUCUGGCUUGUUUGGUGGCUAACGAGAUGUGACCGAACGAGUUCUUUUUUUUCAUCUUCUCUUUCACUGUCACUCUCUUUCUCAUUAUCACCAUGCCCCCGUGUCUUAUCCCUGGCGACCAAACCCCUGCCACUGCGUGCAGCGAUGCCAACCACGAUGGCUGAGAUGUGGUGGGCUAUGCGGAGGCCGUGCGGCUCACGGCCGAGGGUGCACCCUUCAGCUGUUACCUACUACCUGUGGCAGGGCGCCGAGGAGUUCGUCAUGCGCAAGCAGGAGGUGGAGAACGCGCUGCUCGGCGCCUGGGAGCCCGAUGUGCAGGUGCACAUGAAGUUCCAUGACGCCGAGGAGCGCUGCACCGAGUGGAUCAACAGUUUACUCAAGGACGUUGACCCCCUCCUUCUGGCCCUUGUUCGAGGUACAAGAUGCAUCCAUCUCCGUAGUUAA